CUCCAUCGGUUUGGCUCCAUCAUAAACCUGCAUAAUGGCAUCGCCCGCGUUCCGUGCAAGCUGGCAUACUUGUUCUAACAUUCUCCACCUCUUUAUGACGGGGGCGUUAACUCGUUGUUUUACUUAUACCCGAUCGUUAAGGGUUCCGCCAACUGUGAUACCGUCAGCGGUUUUGAUAAUAGCUUUCAUGGCAUGAUUCACCUUUCUGUGAACACUCGCAAAAAAUCGGCCGGAUGGGGCGGUUUCGCCUUCUUCUGGCGACGGUUGGAACGAUAUCGGGUUUCACUGUUUGUCAUCGCUAUUUUUCACUAUCCGGCUUUUCUAUUGCGUUCUUAAAAGGUGCCUCUGAUGAUUAAGUUUAGUGCAACGCUUCUGGCU
rnacentral:misc_RNA from 1 species